GAUGAACGCUGGCGGCGUGCCUAAUACAUGCAAGUCGAGCGAACAGACGAGGAGCUUGCUCCUCUGACGUUAGCGGCGGACGGGUGAGUAACACGUGGAUAACCUACCUAUAAGACUGGGAUAACUUCGGGAAACCGGAGCUAAUACCGGAUAAUAUAUUGAACCGCAUGGUUCAAUAGUGAAAGACGGUUUUGCUGUCUCUUAUAGAUGGAUCCGCGCCGCAUUAGCUAGUUGGUAAGGUAACGGCUUACCAAGGCAACGAUGCGUAGCCGACCUGAGAGGGUGAUCGGCCACACUGGAGCGGAGACACGGUCCAGACUCCUACGGUAGGCAGCAGUAGGGAAUCUUCCGCAAUGGGCGAAAGCCUGACGGAGCAACGCCGCGUGAGUGAUGAAGGUCUUCGGAUCGUAAAACUCUGUUAUUAGGGAAGAACAAAUGUGUAAGUAACUAUGCACGUCUUGACGGUACCUAAUCAGAAAGCCACGGCUAACUACGUG
rnacentral:rRNA from 1 species